CGGGCUGUAGCGCAGCUUGGUAGCGCGCUUCGUUCGGGACGAAGAGGCCGCGGGUUCAAAUCCCGCCAGCCCGACCU
rnacentral:tRNA from 1 species